rnacentral:rRNA from 1 species
AGUGAACGCUGGCGGUAGGCCUAACACAUGCAAGUCGAACGGCAGCACAGGAGAGCUUGCUCUCUGGGUGGCGAGUGGCGGACGGGUGAGGAAUACAUCGGAAUCUACUCUGUCGUGGGGGAUAACGUAGGGAAACUUACGCUAAUACCGCAUACGACCUACGGGUGAAAGCAGGGGAUCUUCGGACCUUGCGCGAAUGAAUGAGACGAUGUCGGAUUAGCUAGGUGGCGGGGGAAAGGCCCACCAAGGCGACGCACCGUAGCUGGUCUGAGAGGAUGAUCAGCCACACUGGAACUGAGACACGGUCCAGACUCCUACGGGAGGCAGCAGUGGGGAAUAUUGGACAAUGGGCGCAAGCCUGAUCCAGCCAUACCGCGUGGGUGAAGAAGGCCUUCGGGUUGUAAGCCCUUUUGUUGGGAAAGAAAUCCAGCUGGCUAAUACCCGGUUGGGAUGACGGUACCCAAAGAAUAAGCACCGGCUAACUUCGUGCCAGCCGCCGCAGUAA